UGGGGGAUCGUCUAGGGGCAAGACAUUAGAUUUUGGUUCUAAGAACCCAGGUUCGAUUCCUGGUCCCCCAGCCA
rnacentral:tRNA from 2 species